AAAUGAGAUAAGUAAUGUGAAUUGCAGAAUUCAGUGAAUCAUCGAAUCUUUGAACGCACCUUGCGCUCCUUGGUAUUCCUUGGAGCAUGCCUGUUUGAGUAUCAUGAAAUCUUCAAAGUAAAUCUUUUGUUAACUCAAUUGGUUUCUACUUUGGUAUUGGAGGUCUUUGCAGCUUCACACCUGCUCCUCUUUGUUCAUUAGCUGGAUCUCAGUGUUAUGCUUGGUUCCACUCGGCGUGAUAAGUUAUCUAUCGCUGAGGACACUGUAAAAGGUGGCCAAGGUAAAUGCAGAUGAACCGCUUCUAAUAGUCCAUUGACUUGGACAAUACUUUUAUGAUCUGAUCUCAAAUCAGGUAGGACUACCCGCUGAACUUAAGC
rnacentral:misc_RNA from 1 species